rnacentral:lncRNA from 10 species
GAAAUCCUGACCUCAGGUGAUCCACCUGCCUCGGCCUCCCAAAGUGCUGGGAUUACAGGUGAAGUUUUAGUACAGCGUGGUGACCUUGGAAAGCCUGUUCUGCUUCUGACAAAAGUGGCCUGAGCCUGUGGGUACACAGUGUUAUUGGGACUAGCUGUGCAUAAAAGAUCCUCCUCCAGAUCCAGCUUCAACAGGACCUUGAAGCAGCUGGGAAAUCAAAGCUUCAAAUCGUAAAGUAACAUGUGGAGGCGACACAAAUAUUAUUUGCUGGGAGUGAGAGAGGUACUCACAUGCUCUUUUCACUUAUUGUCCAGAAGAAGAACAUCAUGAUGGAAGAUACCUUUCACUGGAGUCAGUGACUCUUAGCUACUGAAUACCUUACCCAAUAGGUCAAUGCUGAAUGUUAUCAAUGAAGUCCAUAACAAACCAUAGCUGUGGAUAAUAAUAAUCCUUCUUAUAA